AAGGUUUUAGCUUAAUGAAAGUGGCUGAGUUGCAUUCAGUUGAUGUGGGGUAGAGUCCUGCAAGCCUUA
rnacentral:tRNA from 1 species